rnacentral:miRNA from 10 species
UGUAUGUAUGUAUGUGUGUGUACAUGCACACAUAUGUGUAUCAUACCCAAAUCAGCGUCUGCAAAAACAA